GCCCGGAUGGUGGAAUUGGUAGACACGACGGACUUAAAAUCCGUUGGCCCGAAUGGGCCGUGCGGGUUCAAGUCCCGCUCCGGGUA
rnacentral:tRNA from 1 species